GAAGCCGGAAUUGCUAGUAAUGGCAGGUCAGCAUACUGCCGUGAAUACGUUCCCGGGCCUUGUACACACCGCCCGUCACACCAUGAGAGUUGGGGAUACCCGAAGCCUGUGAGCUAACAGUAAUGGAGCAGCAGUCGAAGGUAGAAUCAAUGAUUGGGGUGAAGUCGUAACAAGGUAGC
rnacentral:rRNA from 1 species